rnacentral:rRNA from 1 species
UACGUAGGGUGCAAGCGUUAAUCGGAAUUACUGGGCGUAAAGCGUGCGCAGGCGGCGCCGCAAGUCAGGCGUGAAAUCCCCGAGCUCAACUUGGGAAUUGCGCUUGAAACUACGGUGCUGGAGUAUGGCAGAGGGAGGUGGAAUUCCACGUGUAGCGGUGAAAUGCGUAGAGAUGUGGACGGAACACCGAUGGCGAAGGCAGCCUCCUGGGCCAAUACUGACGCUCGAUGCACGGAAAGCGUGGGGAGCAAACAGG